rnacentral:tRNA from 1 species
AGAAACUUAGGUUACACCUAAACCAAGGACCUUCAAAGCCCUAGACAAGAACCUACUCUUAGUUUCUG